rnacentral:rRNA from 1 species
CACGUAGGGUGCGAGCGUUGUCCGGAAUUACUGGGCGUAAAGAGCUCGUAGGUGGUUUGUCGCGUUGUUCGUGAAAUCCCACGGCUUAACUGUGGGCGUGCGGGCGAUACGGGCAGACUGGAGUACUGCAGGGGAGACUGGAAUUCCUGGUGUAGCGGUGGAAUGCGCAGAUAUCAGGAGGAACACCGGUGGCGAAGGCGGGAUCCUGGGCCAGUACUGACGCUGAGGAGCGAAAGCGUGGGGAGCAAACAGG